GACGAACGCUGGCGGCGUGCUUAACACAUGCAAGUCGAACGAUGAAGCCUUAGCUUGCUUUGGUGGAUUAGUGGCGAACGGGUGAGUAACACGUGAGCAACGUGCCCAGGACUCUGGAAUAACCGCGGGAAACCGUGGCUAAUACCGGAUAGGUGCCGAGGCCGCAUGGUCUUCGGUUGGAAAGUUUUUGCGGUUCUGGAUCGGCUCACGGCCUAUCAGCUUGUUGGUGGGGUAAUGGCCUACCAAGGCGACGACGGGUAGCCGGCCUGAGAGGGUGACCGGCCACACUGGGACUGAGACACGGCCCAGACUCCUACGGGAGGCAGCAGUGGGGAAGAUUGCACAAUGGGCGCAAGCCUGAUGCAGCAACGCCGCGUGGGGGAUGACGGCCUUCGGGUUGUAAACCGCUUUUAGUAGGGAAGAAGCGCAAGUGACGGUACCUGCAGAAAAAGCACCGGCUAACUACGU
rnacentral:rRNA from 1 species